UUUAAUUGAAGAGUUUGAUCAUGGCUCAGAUUGAACGCUGGCGGCAGGCCUAACACAUGCAAGUCGAGCGGAAACACAAGGGAGCUUGCUCCUGAGGUGUCGAGCGGCGGACGGGUGAGUAAUGCUUGGGAAACUGCCCAGUCGUGGGGGACAACCAUUGGAAACGAUGGCUAAUACCGCAUACGCCCUACGGGGGAAAGAAGGGGACCUUCGGGCCUUUCGCGAUUGGAUGUGCCCAAGUGGGAUUAGCUAGUUGGUGAGGUAAUGGCUCACCAAGGCGACGAUCCCUAGCUGGUUUGAGAGGAUGAUCAGCCACACUGGAACUGAGACACGGUCCAGACUCCUACGGGAGGCAGCAGUGGGGAAUAUUGCACAAUGGAGGAAACUCUGAUGCAGCCAUGCCGCGUGUAUGAAGAAGGCCUUCGGGUUGUAAAGUACUUUCAGCGAGGAGGAAAGGGAGUAGGUUAAUAACCUGCUUCUGUGACGUUACUCGCAGAAGAAGGACCGGCUAACUCCGUGCCAGCAGCCGCGGUAAUACGGAGGAUCCAAGCGUUAAUCGGAAUUACUGG
rnacentral:rRNA from 1 species